GAUAUGCCGUGAACAGUUUGUAGCCCUACACAGCCAACCCAUUUUGGAGGACCUUUCAAACUUCAUGUUGCAGAAAUACUGUUCCGAUACCACAACAUGUGAAAGCGAUAAAAAGAAGAAGGGCCAGAAAGCUGUCCAGGCCAGGAUCCAGGAGCUGAAAGCUUUACUGCCUAAUAUUCCCAAGAAAGGUGACUUCAAACUAGAAAAGGUGAAGAGAUCAGUCUACUUUUUCAACUGAUUCUGCAAGAUCAUCUUUCUCCUGAUCCUCUCUACAUUCGAACUUAGACCCGGCCGGGGUGUCCGGGCGACAUUGAGAAGGAGCAACUUCCCGUUUCUCUCCAGUCUCCCUGAACGGGAUUGAAAAUGUACCCGGUUCCUUAAAUUUGGUCCCUCUCUCGGUGCUUCUGGAGGGAAUCAGCCUGACAAGGAAUUCCUUCCCCACAGAGGAGUUGGAAACGCAUCACCCCAAAAACUGGGUUUUUAGAUUUAUCAGGGACACAUAAGGUACCUGGGCGGAGGUGUGCAAACAGGAUGUUUCUCCACAGAUCAUCUGGAGAAAGGACUUAUUUUGGCCCUGUCUGUCUCUUCUGGAAGAAAACAAUUGUUGAUAUUUGUUUUCACUCUUGGGAGUCCUCGGCUACCGAAGCCAAGACUGCAUUCUCCCCCCUUUUCAAUUUUUAUGCACUUUGUUCCUGUUGGGGGGGGACAUCCCUCCAUUCCGGUUAUUUCCUCUGGCAGUUGCAAAUAAAGUAAGUAUUUGAAAUCUAAGCCGAGCUU